CAUCUCAUUUUCAUCAGAUUUGAAAGAAGAAGAAAAAAUGUCUGUGUUAUAUCCUGAAAUCAAAUUUGAGACUUCUAACUUCACCAGAAGUUCCCUGAACACUUAUUUUCUUUUUGAGAGUAGUUGGAAGAAAGCAAUUUUAGAAACCGAGAAGAUGAGGAAAGAAUAUCCCUCAGCAUUUGGUCUGGAAGAGUUCAAAGAAUGUGUCAAGAUGCCAUAUUUACCAGUAUUGCCAACAUGCCAAAAGAGUGUAAGUUCAACUCCACUGGAGAAUCAUAAACAACUGCUACACACGGACACCCAGAUGCCUACAGUCAGGAUAAAGAAGACAAAGGGUACAUGUGCCAUGGUACCACUUCAGGAGAAAUCAAAAGAUUCUAAUUUCAGUGACCCUGUUACUGGAGCACCAGUUCAGUACUUACAAAGACUUUCCAAAAUGGCUCUUUUGGAGUUUAAUACCAUUCGUCAGGAAACAAGUAAAAAAUCAAAAAAAGGCAAGAAGCGAGAGUUACGAGACUGCUGAUAAAUACCAUACGGUGUGAUGCUUUCUUCACUGCUUUUUAAGAUUUAAUUGACUCAACAUUAUUUGAGUACCUGUCUGUGCAAUGAACUGUGCUGCAGAAAGUCUUCCUGGAAGACAAAAGAAGACGGAAAGAGGAGGAGAGUCCGUGUCCUUGCAUGUUUUAUAUUAAUUUACACAAAUACACUAUUAAUAUGUAUGUGUGUGUCUGCAUUAUUACAAUGGAUUAGUUCCUAGGAGGAUAACUAAUUUAAAUGGAUUUGUUUAUAUUUUGAUUGGGAUCAUAUGAGAAUAUGUGAAUUUUCAAAAUCAUAUAAAUUUUGAUUGAGAAUGAUUUAAAUACUACCUAUACUUAAAAGGUAUUCUCAAUAAAAAUUUGGUGACCUC
rnacentral:lncRNA from 1 species